GAAGCUGUGAGGGCCAUCUGGCUGUCAUCUGUCAUUCUAUUGAUGGUGAGAGGCGAUUUGCUGAUUUGGCUGGCUAGACCUGUCUCCCUAGCUCACUUCAUUUAGGUCCCCCUCAAAGCUGUUGAUUAGUGGAAGAUGGUGACCUUCCUCAAUAAGGGAGAAGUAAUCUUUGGUCAAGAGCGGUCAAAAGUAUGUGAUUGGCUGCACCUCCCUGAUAGAACAUCCAAACCAGCUCUCAAGGAAACAGGCUGUGUGACAAGCUGUUUGGAGAGAGGUAUGUUUACUCCAGGGACAUCAGGACUUAUAUGGCUGAAGCAGGCCUGAGACAGAC
ensembl:misc_RNA predicted gene, 26346